AUGGCGAAUGAUAGCAUCCUUCAUGUCUUCAUUGUUUUUCUCAUCGCUCAAGUCUGCCUGCUCAUGAUGAUGAUAGCGCCGGUGACACAUGCAGCUGGUAGGCUUAUGGGCUAUAAUCCAGUUUGCUGCCCUAGGGACAUCUAUUGUUGUGGAUUUGGUGGCGUGAUGGCUAAUGGAACCUCAUCCUCCAUUGAGCCUUAA
rnacentral:rRNA from 1 species